rnacentral:lncRNA from 1 species
CGGUGCAGUCGAAUCAUCCGCAGCAACAACAUCUUUUAAAUUCAGAAUACGUUGAAGAGCCAAUUCACACGUCUCUCGAACCUCUUGAGCCGGAUCAGAAUCCAAACUUCGCUUCAAAAGAGAAACAUUACUAUCCGAUCCAAUAGCGCCAAGUGCUUCCGCUGCUUACCAUCAUGAUUCGAACACGGUAGAGUUUGAAACAAUUUUGCCGCUGCCAUCUUAGUGAUCUCCUGCAUUGUCGCUUCACUGAACUUUGAAUUCACAGCUGAAAUAUAAUCAAAAAGUUCAAGCAAAGUUUGCCCCUCUCCAAUGAUCCGAUCCCUGUUCCUUCUACUACCGGCAAGAACUUUUGGUAUUUUCUUUUAUGUUGUGCAGGCUUUUCUCCUGGCAAUUUCUUGUCAAAUUUCCCAUCGCUAGCUGUGGCAGUUGCUGCAAUUCCUGCUACAUUGCCCAACUCAUCCUUAAUAGCUUUCUUUAGUGUUGCCUAGGUUCCUGUUAUGGGCAAAGAUGUGGCGGCCAACUGAACAUGGCUGGGUAAAGCCCCAAACUUGGCGGCAUUCUUCAAGUUUUGUAGCCGAUUUUUCUCCUGUUUAUCAAC